rnacentral:rRNA from 1 species
UACGAAGGGGGCUAGCGUUGCUCGGAAUCACUGGGCGUAAAGCGCACGUAGGCGGCUUCUUAAGUCAGGGGUGAAAUCCUGGAGCUCAACUCCAGAACUGCCUUUGGUACUGAGGAUCUUGAGUUCGGGAGAGGUGAGUGGAACUGCGAGUGUAGAGGUGAAAUUCGUAGAUAUUCGCAAGAACACCAGUGGCGAAGGCGGCUCACUGGCCCGAUACUGACGCUGAUGCACGAAAGCGUGGGGAGCAAACAGG